AUUUUUUAUUUUUUUUUUGUACUUCCAGUGAAAAGGACGGAGCCUGUUGCUGCUUGCUCACGAAGGCAGAAGACAGUUGGAGGUGCAGGAAUGCUGCCCUGUGACAGCCUGUGAAAACAACCCCCGGCUCUCACGCGCUCCAUGUGCGGAUUCCGCGCAGCGGUGUCAGCAAGUCAAAUGGUCGAUAUGAAGAAGGAAGAAUUGUUUGGGACAAACCUGGAGUGUCUCCCUCCAUCCUGGUGCUUCUCUGGCGGCGUGAAGAAGUCUCAGUGCCCGUGGGAGGGAGGCGGGAGCGAGGCUGUCACCGAACCGCCCGCAGCAAGCCGGAAACCUUCUUGUUCGGUUCUCUCUCUUUAUUUCAAAUCCUUCUCCGCUUUCCCCCUCGCUCGUAUGCACUUUACGGAGCCCGUACCUCGCCACUUUGAACUUAGAACUGACAAAAACACAAACUAACGAUUAGUGUACGUGUUGUCAAACGAGUGUCGCUGUACUUCUGACGCCACCGGUCAAUACACACCCAUGCCCCGCCCACACAGACCGUGACGUCACCCUUCAACUUCACCUUUGUAAAAUCAGCGGGUAAUAUCAAACACAGAACAGCUUGACAAAAAAAGUCAUAACUUUAUUGCACCUUUUCUUUUUGUUUUCUUCAAACGUGGUGCAAACGCAAGUGUGGAAGGUUCAUUUCGGCGGCCUUGACAAAACGAGUGUGCAGGUAAAACACCCACCGACUGCUCGAUUAAAGAUGUCUUCUCAAUAUAUUUAUAACUAUAUAUGGCAAAUUCAAGGCAGAAUCUCUAGACUGGAAAGAAGGGGCAAAUCUUUACAGCAUGGGAGGACUGUAUACAAUGCAUUUUGUGUCAUGACGUUGGUGCAGGAGGGAGGGGUCGUGACCCCGAACCAUUUGUUGUAAACUAAUCUUUUGUGGUAUUUGUACAGUGCGUGUCUUAAGUUAAUGGUCUGGCGCAAGAUGACGUCCAACUUCCCCCACCACAUAUACAAAACAGUUGGGUCAUAUGGCGAUGGAAUACAGUACAUAUGUGAUGGCUUCCUGAGUCUCCGCCCAUUUUGUGGAGGUGACCGGGAGCGACGAAAACAAUUGCAUAGAGGUAUAUGAAUAAAUUACUUCAACUGACAUGAGGGGAAGAUCAAACGCAAUGUUAAACUGUGAGUUGAGAAACGCCCCCUCGCCGCCAUUGCAAAUACUCUUGAGCGCAACAGUGAAUUUUAUCAUUAGAUUGAAUAUCAAAUUGUGUAUAAUAAAAAA